CCUAGUUGAUCCUACCAAUAGUCAUAUGUAUAUCCUAAAUAUUGAUCCAUACAUAUGUAAGUAUGAACAAAUUCAGACUGUGAAACUGAGAAUGGCUCAUUAAAUCAGUUAUAGUUUGUUUGAUUGUAUCUACUGCUCUGAUAACCGUAGUAAUUAUAGAGCUAAUACUUAUAACAAAAACUAUACUUUUGGAAGGGCUUUAUUUAUUGGAUAAAAGAUCAAUGUGGCCUUUGCUCGUUUCUGCGUUAAAUCAUGAUAACUCGACGAAUUGUACAACCAUCGUGUUGGUGAUGCAUCAUUCAAAUUUUUUUCCUAUUAACUUUCGAUGGUAGGAUAGUGGCCUACCAUGGUGGUGAUAGGUAACGGAGAAUUAGGAUUCAAUUCUAAAAAGAGAUCUUAAUAAAUGGCUACCACAUUCAAGGAAGGCAGCUGGCACACAUAUUACCCGAUCCUAACAUUGGGAGGUAGUGACAAUAAAUAACAUUACCGAUCUCAAUGAGUUUAGCAAUUGGAAUGAGUCCAACAUAAAUCCCCUAAUAAGGAUCAAUUGGAAGACUAAUCUGGUGCCAGAAAUCGUGGUAAUUCCAUCUCCAAUAGCGUAUAUUUAGGUUGUUACAAUUAAAAAGCUCAUAUUUGUACUUUGGGAUUGGAUGGCCGGUCAUCCUAUGGAGUGCCCCGGUCGUCGCGUCCCUUCAGUUGACAAUGCCCUCCUGCCCUUAAUUGGGUGGGUUGUUCCGCUGGCACUAUUAAUUUAAAGAAAUUAGAGUGCUCAAGGAAAGCCUAUGCUCUCUAUAUAUAUCAGCAUGGAUAACAUUAUAGGAUUUUUGUCCUAUUAUGUUGGCCUUCAGGAUCGGAGUAAUGAUUAACAGGGACAGUCGGGGGUAUUCGUGUUUCAUAGUUAGAGGUGGAAUUAUUUGAUUUAUGAAAUAUGAACAACUGUGAAAGAAAUUUCCAAAGACAUUUUAAUUAACCAAGAACAAAAUUUGGGGGCUCGAAGAAGAUCAGAUACUAUCCUAGUCAAAACCAUAAACAAUGCCGACCAAGGAUCGGCGUAUGUUGCCUUUUGGACUCCGCCUGCACUUUAUGAGAAAUCAAAGUUUUUGGGUUUCAGGGGGAGUAUUGUUGCAAGGCUAAAACUUAAUGGAAUUGAUGGAAGGGCACCACUAUGAGUAGAUCCUUCAGCUUAAUUUGAAUCAACAUGGGAAAACUCACCAGGUACCGACAUAUUAAAAAUUGAAUGAUUCAUAGCUCUUUCUUGAUUCAAUGGGCAGUGGUGCAUGGUCAUUCUUUGUUGCUGGAGAGAUUUUUCAAGGCAAUUAUGUUAACGAAUGAGACCUCAUCCUGCUAACUAGCUAUGUGAAGGUAUUCCUUCGCUUCCAGCUUCUUAGAGGAACUACGACCUUUUAGGUCAUGGAGAUUUGAUGAAAUAACAGUACUAUGAUGCCCUUAGAUUUUCUGGGCCACACGUGCACAACACUGAUUUAUUCAAUGAUUUUAUAUACAUGGCCGAUAGGCCCGGGUAAUUAUUAACAUUUCAUCAUGAUGUGGAUAGAUUUUUGCAAUUAUUGGUCUUAAACAAAGAAUUCCAAGUAUGCGUGAGUCAUCAUCUCGUAUUGACUAUGCCCCUACCAUUUAUACACACUGUCUGUCACUCCUACUGAUUAAAUAAUUUGCCAAAAUGUUUGUAUUUUGGAAACGAGGGUGGUUCACUGCCUGUGACAUUGUCAGAAGUCCAUUAAACCUUAUCAUUUAGUGGAAAGAGUAGUCGUAACAAGGUUUCCGUAGGUGAACCAAUGCAAG
rnacentral:rRNA from 1 species